rnacentral:rRNA from 1 species
GACGAACGCUGGCGGCGUGCUUAACACAUGCAAGUCGAGCGGUAAGGCCCUUUCGGGGGUACACGAGCGGCGAACGGGUGAGUAACACGUGGGUGACCUGCCCUUAGCUCUGGGAUAAGCCUGGGAAACUGGGUCUAAUACCGGAUAUGACUCCAUGACGCAUGUUGUGGGGUGGAAAGCCUUGUGCGGCUAGGGAUGGGCCCGCGGCCUAUCAGCUUGUUGGUGGGGUGAUGGCCACCAAGGCGACGACGGGUAGCCGGCCUGAGAGGGCGACCGGCCACACUGGGACUGAGACACGGCCCAGACUCCUACGGGAGGCAGCAGUGGGGAAUCUUGCGCAAUGGGCGAAAGCCUGACGCAGCGACGCCGCGUGAGGGAUGACGGCCUCGG